AGAGUUACGUUAGAAGGAAAUAACUUCCUUUUCAUGAAAGAUUAGUAGCAUGAAGUUCACACUGGCAACAGUUAUCAAAGGCAUAUGACCGUUAUAAUAAAGGCUGUUCGCUGCGCCAACGUUUCUAACACAUGCAGCUUCCUGGAAGGGCUGAUAAAUGACUCCUGCACAAUUUUUCAAGGCUAUUAACUUGAGUGCCUUUUUAUUCAGUCUCAUUACUUUUUAAACAGCCAUAGGAAGUCACAAGGAGGUUUCUAAAAUCCAAACAUCUCUGGAAGGGUCAACAUGAAGAGUGCCUGCAGAUGACAUCAACUUUGCCAAGGGGUUUCUGGCUAGAGGAGGUUCUCUUUGAGACGGUGCAGGAAUGACAGGACAAGAAAUGUGACUUCAAAGCUUCCCAGUAGGCAUCUGGAAGGCGGAUUCCCUGUGAAAAUGCCAAAACUGGCAUCAUACUCUCAUCAUCCAGACUUCACUUUCUUAUUAGCUGGCAGUUGUGUUAUUAAGAUGAAACCCAUACUCCACCAGCAUUGUUGAAUAGAGGACUUGUAAAUAAUAGAUAGCUUAUAUGGUCCCAUCAAGGCACAGAGAGAGCGAAAGAUGAAAGUGAUUUUCACCACGCAUGCACACCGUGGUAUUCCAUUGACUUUGAGUUGUCAUUUGAUCUGAAAGUAAAGAGAUGAUUUUGACAUCUGCUGCUGAUCAAAGCAUUGCUUGGUGAAUUGUUUGCCUUGUAGUUCUCUAUGUGGCAUCCCCAUCUAAACAGGUAUUCCACACUGGACCUGCUACUAUCAUUAGUGAAGGUUAAGACUGUUCCCAAUACACUCUGCAGAUUCAAAACCUGUAAUCAUAUGCAGAUACCGCAGUCCUUAACUGCUUCAUAACCAAGCAUACAGUAGAUAGUUAUUAUUUCUCAGCUUCGCUCCGAAGUUAACAUUAAAUCAAAACCUACUCAGAAAUCAUUCUGGUUGUUCUUAACCAUUCUUAAUUUUGUUUUCAUUUUCAUUCGUCAGAAUAAAAUCUGCUCCCCUUCUAAAACAUCUUUCUUUUUCGGCUGAUCUCAUUUACGCCAGGUCUUACUGUAACUAAUAACUAAGUUCCUAUUAAGACAAUAUUUUAGAACACUGUUUAUGCCGUUUUUAAGCAGUCAU